rnacentral:lncRNA from 1 species
GGCUAGCUGCAUGUGCCACACGGUCGAGUUAGCUAGCUACUGCGACAACUAUACACGGUGAGUAGUUCUCCCGGGUGUUUUCCUGUGGUUUUCUCGGUUCAGCUCCAACGUUUGAAAAAGACUUGUGUUACUAGUAUAAUUUAUAAUUUUACAUAUUUAUAAAAAAGCUAAAUAAGACAAAGUAGUUAAACGUAAUUAAAAAGUCAACUGCGUUAAUUAAAAAAAAUCAGAGCGAGUACUUAUUAUUGAACUUUUAAUUCUCUUCUUCUCCAUGCAUGCAUGCAAGGUGAUUAAAUUACGGCAGGUCAUCAAGUAAACCAUGUAAGAAAAAGAGAGGUGGGGCGUCAAGUAGAACACACUGGCGCGUGGAGACCGAAUCCAAGAAGGUCAAGUCGCGAUCAGACGGAUGGUGGUGAAAUCCAUGCUGGCUUCCUGACUGGGAGUCUGGAACUGUGAUGGGUCAACUUAGUUAAUUGUUGUUCUUUCAUUGGUUAUUAGUUAAUUUGUUUGUUGGUUAUAUCCCUAGCUCUCCGUUGAUUAUUUUUUAAAUAAACUGUGUAGACUUUGACUAUCACUUUAGAAGCUAUAUAUAUAUACCACUAGGUAUAUAUUUUUUAUUUCGCAACAAUAUUUGUUCUAUAAGUAUUAUAAUAGAAUUUGUGAAAAAUUAAUCAAAAUCUUAUCUUAAAAACUUUCUAGAAAUUAAUUAAGAUAUGUCCAGUAAAAAUCAACGGAGGCGACAUAUAACUGGAUCCGUGGAUAUAUAGUCCAAUGAGACAAGAUGUCCUUUGCAAUGAUGUAACAUGUGGUAUGUGUUGUUUUCAUUCUAAGAAAGUAGCACCAUCAAAUGUAUACUGGUCAGUGGCCAGUUGGUCACCCUUGGUGUUCAUACGUGAAUAAUAUAUCCCAAUAUAUAUCUGUUAUAAAACCGGCCCUGAAA